AGGGUGUAAACGCUGCGGGCUUGGUGUUGGGGGUCCUUUGAGGGCGCCCAGUGCCGGAGAGAAGUUGUUAAGCCUGCUGCUUGGGGAGUACGCCCGCAAGGAUGAAACUUAAAGGAAUUGGCGGGGGAGCACCACAAGAGGUGGAGGCUGCGGUUCAAUUGGACUCAACGCCGGAAACUCAUCGGGAGCGACAGCAGUAUGAUUGCCAGGUUGAUGACCUUGCUUGACAAGCUGAGAGGUGGUGCAUGGCGUAGUCGUGU
rnacentral:rRNA from 1 species